UUCCGGUUGAUCCUGCCGGACCCCACUGCUAUCGAGGUGGGACUAAGCCAUGCUAGUCGAACGACCCGAACUAUGUCGGGUAGUGGCAUACUGCUCAGUAACACAUAGCUAACUUCCCCUUAGGACGGGAGCAACCCCGGGAAACUGGGGCUAAUGCCCGAUAGGUGUGGAGGCCUGGAAUGGUUCCACACUGAAAAGUACCAUGGACAUGUUCAUGGUAUGCCUAAGGAUGGGGCUGUGGCCGAUCAGGCUGUUGGUGAGGUAAUGGCUCACCAAACCUUUGACCGGUACGGGCCAUGAGAGUGGUAGCCCGGAGAUGGGCACUGAGACAAGGGCCCAGGCCCUACGGGGCGCAGCAGGCGCGAAACCUCCACAAUGCACUCACGUGCGAUGGGGUUACCUCGAGUGCCGCCUUUGAAGGGUGGCUUUUCUGUAGUGUAAAUAGCUAUAGGAAUAAGAGGGGGGCAAGACUGGUGUCAGCCGCCGCGGUAACACCAGCCCCUCGAGUGGUGGGGAUGAUUAUUUGGCCUAAAGCGUUCGUAGCCGGUCAUGAAAGUCCUUCGUUAAAUCCAACGUCUCAAGCGUUGGCUUGCGAAGGAUACUACAUAACUUGAGGGUGGGAGAGGUCGGCGGUAUUCUGGGGGUAGGGGCGAAAUCCAUUGAUCCCCGGAGGACCACCAGUGGCGAAAGCUGCUGACUAAAACACGCCUGACGGUCAGGGACGAAAGCUGGGGUAGCGAACCGGAUUAGAUACCCGGGUAGUCCCAGCCGUAAACGAUGCAUGCUAGUGUUGGGUCGGCCAUGCGCUGCCCCAGUGCCGCAGGGAAGCCAUUAAGCAUGCCGCCUGGGGAGUACGGCCGCAAGGCUGAACUUAAAGGAAUUGGCGGGGGAGCACAACCAGGCGUGAAGCCUGCGGUUUAAUGACUCAACGCCG
rnacentral:rRNA from 1 species